ACUGCUCAGUAACACGUGGAUAACCUGCCCUUGGGUCCGGCAUAACCCCGGGAAACUGGGGAUAAUUCCGGAUAACGCAUAUGUGCUGGAAUGCUUUAUGCGUCAAAUGGAUUCGUCCGCCCAAGGAUGGGUCUGCGGCCUAUCAGGUAGUAGUGGGUGUAAUGUACCUACUAGCCAGCGACGGGUACGGGUUGUGAGAGCAAGAGCCCGGAGAUGGAUUCUGAGACAUGAAUCCAGGCCCUACGGGGCGCAGCAGGCGCGAAAACUUUACAAUGCGGGAAACCGUGAUAAGGGGACACCGAGUGUCAGCAUCAUAUGCUGGCUGUCCAGGUGUGUAAAAUACACCUGUUAGCAAGGGCCGGGCAAGACCGGUGCCAGCCGCCGCGGUAACACCGGCGGCCCGAGUGGUGAUCGUGAUUAUUGGGUCUAAAGGGUCCGUAGCCGGUUUGGUCAGUCCUCCGGGAAAUCUGAUAGCUCAACUAUUAGGCUAUCGGGGGAUACUACCAGGCUUGGAACCGGGAGAGGUAAGAGGUACUACAGGGGUAGGAGUGAAAUCUUGUAAUCCCUGUGGGACCACCUGUGGCGAAGGCGUCUUACCAGAACGGGUUCGACGGUGAGGGACGAAAGCUGGGGGCACGAACCGGAUUAGAUACCCGGGUAGUCCCAGCCGUAAACGAUGCUCGCUAGGUGUCAGGCAUGGCGCGACCGUGUCUGGUGCCGCAGGGAAGCCGUGAAGCGAGCCACCUGGGAAGUACGGCCGCAAGGCUGAAACUUAAAGGAAUUGGCGGGGGAGCAC
rnacentral:rRNA from 1 species